UGAUCGAAAUGAGUAUUUAAGACAAAACAAAAACAAAAGGAAAUAUUAAAAGCAAAAAAAUGAAAACAAUUCCCACCACCCUCCGCUCCCCCACCCUCUCUUCAAAGCCACGCCCAAUUCCCCCAACCCAACCCGAACCAAAAGCCGCAGGCCUGUGAUGGACCCGAAGCAGCUGGCUGCUCUGGUCUCCUCCCUUGUGUCCCAAGCGCUUCUCCUCCUUUCCCUGCCCUUCCCCCACCCCAACCCUUGUGCCUCCGUCCCCAAUCGCAACAACCUCCCUCUAUUCCUCUUCUCCUCCCCACCCACGCCUCUCGCCCCUCUCCUCUCCCUUCUUCUCCACCUCCUCUCCUCCUCCUCCCACAUCGCCGCCUCCGUCCACUUCCUUCCCCACAAGCGCAAGCGCAAGCGCCACCAGCACCAACCGGAUCUACACGUCCCACGCCGCGGCCCCGACCACUUCCGGCUAUGCUUCCGCAUGACGUCCACCACCUUCGAGUGGCUCUCCGGUCUCCUCGAUCCCCUUCUCGACUGCCGCGACCCCGCUGGCUCUGCCCUCCGCCUUUCGGGCCCCACCCGCCUCGCCAUCGCUCUCUCUCGCCUUGCCUCCGGUGCUUCCUACCCUGACCUCGCCUACCGCUUCGGGGUGCCCGAGUCAGCCGCUCGCUUCUGCUCCAAGCAUCUCUGCCGCGUGCUCUGCACCAAUUUCCGUUUCUGGCUCACGUUUCCCUCUCCAUCUGACCUUACAACGGUUUCCGCCGGAUUCCAGGCAGUCGGCCAUGGCCUUCCCGACUGCUGCGGUGCCAUGGCCUGCACUCGCUUCGAGGCACGGGGCCAGUCUGUCGUCGCUGCACAGAUCGUGGCCGAUUCCUCAUCGAGGAUCAUACACAUUGCUGCUGGAUUUCGAGGGGAUCGCACAGAUUCCAGCGUUCUCAAGUGCUCAUCGCUUUAUAAGGAUGUGCAGGAGGGGCAAUUGCUGGGAGCAACACAGUACUUGGUUGGGGAUGGCCGCUACCCUCUGUUGCCUUGGUUGAUGGUCCCGUUUACUGAUCCAGUUCGUGGCUCCUGCGAAGAAGACUUCAAUGCCGUUCACCAGUCAAUGUGCCGGCCUGUGCUUCGGGUGGUUUGCAGCAUGAGGAAUUGGGGCGUGCUUAGUUCUUUAGGAGAAGAGGAGAAUUUUAAGGUGGCUGUGGCAUGCAUUGGCACUUGUGCUAUUCUUCACAAUGUGUUGCUGAUGAGGGAGGACUACUCUGCCCUAUCUGAUGUAAGCAAUGAGAACCAUAUGGGUUUAGAACACUAUGGGGAAGAUUUGGGAUUGGAGGACUUUUACUGUGAGAUGAAAGCUUCAACAUUGCGGAGCAUGUUGGCAGUGAGAGCGAGGGCAGCCCGAGAUUCGGGACAAAUUGGCAUUCCAUAAAUUACAAUUAGGACAGUUAUUGGACUGUUGAUGAAGAGGGAAGGUGUGGAUUAUGUUGAGAUUUUACAGUUAGAGUAGCUGAGCCUGUCCCAAGUUAAAGCUAUUCCCCAAGAGCCUUACUGCUGCCUACCUUCUUUGAAGUUCAACGUCAGCAAGAUAUUAUUAUUUUGAUCUCCAGUCUUGCCAUCAGAAAAGAUCAAACUUUCAACUGUAUUAGCUGUUAAUCCUAACUAGAGAAGAAGUCUUGUGAUGCCUUGUAUAGGAUGAGAAUAAACUUCGUUUUUCCAUCAUGAAAUAAACAAUAAGUUUUUUUUUAAAUGUUUGGCACAAAGGACUGAUUCUAUUUCAAUUGGAAAUCUCAGCAUAUAACUAAAUGCACAGAUCAAGUUAUUUUGAGUCCUUAUGUAUGUCUGUUUUCUGCUACUUGUUGAGAAGGAACUUCACAUGGAUAUUUUCUGUUAUCAUGAGUCUAUGAUAGAGAUAAUAAACUUGAAUAAGAAUGCUGGAGUGUUGUAAGUUCUUCUGCGU